rnacentral:rRNA from 1 species
CGGGACGGGUGAGUAACGUGUGGGCAACCUGCCCUGUACUGGGGAAUAAUCAUUGGAAACGAUGACUAAUACCGCAUGUGGUCCUCGGAAGGCAUCUUCUGAGGAAGAAAGGAUUUAUUCGGUACAGGAUGGGCCCGCAUCUGAUUAGCUAGUUGGUGAGGUAACGGCCCACCAAGGCGACGAUCGGUAGCCGGACUGGGAGGUUGAACGGCCACAUUGGGACUGAGACACGGCCCAG